GCAGUCGUGGCCGAGUGGUUAAGGCGAUGAACUACAAAUCCAAUGGGGUCUCCCCGCGCAGGUUCGAAUGAUGUCGACUGCG
rnacentral:tRNA from 1 species